UGGCAUUGCCGGGUAGCUAUGUUCGGAAUAGAUAACCGCUGAAAGCAUCUAAGCGGGAAACUAGCCUCAAGAUGAGAUCUCACUGGGACCUUGAGUCCCCUGAAGGGCCGUCGAAGAUACGACGUUGAUAGGUUGGGUGUGUAAGCGCUGUGAGGCGUUGAGCUAACCAAUACUAAUUGCCCGUGAGGCUUGACCAUAUAACACCCAAGCAAUU
rnacentral:rRNA from 1 species